GAUGAAGAACGUAGCGAAAUGCGAUAAGUAAUGUGAAUUGCAGAAUUCAGUGAAUCAUCGAAUCUUUGAACGCACAUUGCGCCCGCCAGUAUUCUGGCGGGCAUGCCUGUUCGAGCGUCAUUUCAACCAUCAAGCCCUGCUUGCGUUGGGGUCCUGCGGCUGCCCGCAGGCCCUGAAAACCAGUGGCGGGCUCGCUAGUCACACCGAGCGCAGUAAUACAUCUCGCUUUGGGCGUGCGGCGGGUUCUUGCCGUUAAACACCCCCUUUUUACCAAGGUUGACCUCGGAUCAGGUAGGAAUAUCCGCUGAACUUAAGCAUAUCAAUAAGCGGAGGA
rnacentral:misc_RNA from 1 species